AGGAUAGAUGGAUGACCACCAUGCAGAUGACGAUACUCCUGUUCAUAAGGAUCCAAGGAUUUCUUCUUAAGCUUUCUAUUUCCAUCGUAAUAAGAAUCCUCUAGAUUAUUUAUCUCUUGGAUCCAGGUUGUACCUAUACAAGAAGCAUAUAAGAUGUAGCACCGAGGAUCAAGAUUCAACUGCAUACAAUAGAGAAACUCACUGUUCCAAAUCCUCCCUCUGAAGAUUCGUGUAAAGUGAUAUACAUCUUCCGAAUGCCAAGUCUGCAUUUGAGAAGAGAUACGUGAAUAGAAGGGUCACAGAGAUUCUCGCUGAAUAGGCAGCCUGAAAUAAAUUACAAAAAGACUUUCAUCUGGAGAAUGAAAAUAAAUUGUUUUCCACAGCGCCAAAAGGACCAGACUGAUUGUCGCUGCCUAAAUUUAGGGGUUGAUUGAUCCCCUUUUCCACCGGACUUUCCUACGUCAUGCUAUGGAGGAAUAUCGCAUUAGGGUAAUCUUGAGGAAUAUCGAUUCGUGAAUGAAUUUGGCACCCAGUGAACUUUAGCGU